GGAGAGGUGGCCGAGUGGUUGAAGGCGCGGCUCUCGAAAAGCCGUAUACUCGAAAGGGUAUCAAGAGUUCGAAUCUCUUUCUCUCCG
rnacentral:tRNA from 1 species